UUAACACAAAUGGAGGUGCGCCACUCGCCGGCCUAUUCCCCUCCUCCUCCUUUAUUUAGUACGCAUGGGUACGCCCCUCUCACCUCUCGGGACCUCGACCUGGAGCGGCAUCACCCACCACUACUCGCUAGACAUCCCUCCAUGCCGGAAUGGCAUGUGAUUCCGUUAUAGAACCAUAGCGGGCCAAGGGAGGGCACUGCCAUGACAACACUGCUGCUUCUAACAUAUUCACCCCUUAUACCACUGCCUUGCGCCGCCCGGAUCCCAUCGUUGCCGCUUUUCCAAUCCUGGAGAUGAACACGCAGAAAUAAGACUCUCCUUGCAAAGAAAUAAACAAAGCUCCAGACUCGAGGCCGCUACAACAGAGGAAGCGAAAAGCUUUGAUGCUUGAUGCACACCAGACGAUCACAAGUCUCUUUCACAGCCUUUCUGAGGUCGUUGCUAAACCGUGAGGAUUAGAGUAUUCUCUUUCAAGUAAGUGAUCUUCAUAUUCUUCAUCAGAAGUAUGAGCCCAUCAUGCAAAACAAGGGAACGAAUAAAGCAGCAGUAGUUAUUGUAAUAACUACUAAUAUUGGCAACUUUGUACAUAAUGUGUUAUGAUGUACGCUCCUUGAGUUUAUUGGUAUUCUUUCGCAAGUAUUGAGGAAAUUUAACGUUUGUACAAAGAAAUUAAAUAUUUGAUUGCAAAGGUGAGGUUCUCAAUAUUUGGCCAAUGGAUUUCCAGAAGGAUCUGAAAGGCAUUUUUGACGCGAUUAUAUUUCAAUCCUGACCGAAAAGAUAUUCAGGUAACAGCAUAACAGAUCAAAAUGGUGGGCCGCUGAACCGUUCAAAUGGUAGCACAUCACCAGUUACUCAUUAAUUAACUCUGAUGAUGUUGGCACAACAACCCUUAUUCGGGCGUUGGAUAUACAUACAUGGGUGUGGGACUCCCCUGCGGAUCCUUGCUACAACAAAUGAAAAUUGCAGGUGGACAAACACUUGAUGGAACAGGUUGGCAUUUGAAAAGAUGGACAUGCCCGUAUGUCGUUUUACUUUGUGGAAGGAGGGAGUGGGUCUCCAAAUUCAAAACUUAAUUAUUACCCAUUACUUGUUUGUAUAUGGUCUCUUGGUUAGUAAUAUUAAAUCAUAAACAACUUCCCAUGUGUUUAGGUGAAAGAGAAGACCGUGAAGCUUACAGAGGCCAUGUAAUCUACCUACGGGGAUCUGAUGUCACGACCAGCGUCUUAACUGUUACAGUGAACUCUAUUGUUCAAUCCAUCCUCGUGGUGUUGUAAUUUGUAAAUAAUUGCAACAGCUGGUAGUGCUUAGCCACUUGAUUCUACAAAUAUCUGUCUAAGAAAUUUGAUUUUACAGGCUUAUUUGUUCCCCUACUACACAUAAACCCCCAUAAUGAUUCAGAUGAUAUCACGUACAAUCAUCCAAACUGUAUUCCAAAGCGAAGUCCUUGGACUGCCAUCUAAAUAAAGAGGUUGUUCUGUUGAUUA